UUUUAAUCUGAGGGAUGUUGUUCAAAAUUAAAACAUAUAAUUUCUAUCAUUUUAGUGAUAAUGUUGAUCUUGAAGUUUAUACGUUUCUGGUGAAAUAUUUUCUUGAUUUUGUUUAAACCGUUUCAAUCCUAAAUAAUCAUGAAAUAUUUGCCACUGAACAUUAGUAUCAUCAAACAAAUUGUAAAUUGCUAAAAUUUUAAUGUUUUAUUUGUGAAAUCUAUAACGAUUGCAUUUAUCACCAUUACUGAAGUUAAUAGAAAAAAAUCUGUCUUAAGAUGUACCUUGUUCCGUAAUGUUUCAGAAAUGUGGUAUAAUGAUUUCUACUUCAUAGAAAUAUAAAUGAAUUUGUUAGUUUUAUUAUUUCUAAAUCGCAUGCAAACAUAUACGAUAUAUAUGUGAAACCUGAUCAUAUACACACUUGCAUGUGUAACAGUGUUUUAGAUAUCAAAUAGAGUAUUUAUUUAUUAAAUUCAUUGCAAGAAUGUUGUAAUUUAUAUAUAAUUAUACGGACUCGACUGAAUUUAGUUUUUUGUCCUCGGCAAAACUUUUGCAAAAGAAAACCGAUAUUUGAAAAGUUUGUAGGAGUAAAUAUCAGUCACAAAAACUGACGCUUGAAAUAUAAAAAAAAAUAGGGGGGAUGUAAAAAAAAAGACUAUACCACACAUAAGGAUAUUUAUAAAAGAAAAAGACUAUAAAGAUUAUUGUCUGAAUUACUUGAAGUAGCUUUUCUUUUUAAUAUACAAUUUUACAUUUAAAUAUAAAUUUAUACAUGUUAUAGGUUAGGUAUUUGUGUACUACAGAAGACAAAAUAAUUCAGAGGGCAAAAAUAUAAUACAGAGCUAGGAAUAAUAGAAAUUAUUGACAACAUCCUGGCUAGAAAAUGCAUGGGAAUGGAGAUGGGAAAAAAUGCAUUCUACCAUUUGAUAGCCCAGAAUGAAUAAGUUUAAGAAAAGGUACAUGUAGUGAAAUAACUUUUAUGAAGAUAUGCUAAACUGGAUAUUAAAAGGAUGUAACAUUAGACGGAGCCAGAAAUAGUGACAAAACAAAGUGUAGCAGAAAACAAAAGGAAAACUCUUGUGAAUAAAAACCAUGUUGGAAUACAGAACUAGAAAAAUAGCUGUAUAAAAUGAAUUAUCAAGGCCGUCAUACAGAGCUUGGAUAUUACAACAUAAACUGAUCGAUAUUAUACAAAUGGGAUAAAUGAAUUAUCAUGAAUAGACUUUAAAAUUUUCAUUCUAUAGAUCUGAUUUAGCAACGUAUAGAUACAAAAAAGACUUUUUUUUAAAUUUGCUGGUUGUCUAGCUAAUAAUAAAUUAUAUUUAAUCAUA